ACCAGCGGGAUCAGGCUGCUCCUGCUGCUGCCGGCUCUGGGGCCCGGGGCUGGGGUGAGGGAGGGAGAUGACCUGUUUAGAAAGAGGAAUUGGGAGUCAGGCGUCUCAGGGCAGGGCUUUCCCAGUUCUGCUGCUGACUGGGAGGCGUUGGCUGGGUCAUGGUCCUUCCCCUUUUCUGGGUCUCCACUUCCCUUGGUCUAUGACGGAAUGAAGAACAGCGGGGAACAGUGUCACUUCUGGGAAUCUGAGAGAAUGCAAGUGAAUGUCCUGCUGGGGCCCCAAAACUGUAGUGAUCCACCGUCUUCAUUCAAUACUUGCUCAGUGUUGCAAGCAGUUCAUGCACCCAAGUGGUUCUCUGUGUCUGUGUCAUUGUUUCUAGGGACGGUGCUGAACUGGGCCUACAUCCAACAGGGAAGAUCCACAAACAAACAAGUAUGUGUAGCAACAUGACACAAGCAACACCACAGAAGCAAGAACGCCGCAGGUCACAAAAGGUCCCUGAGCCACCGGAAAGGGCCCUCCUCCCCACUUGAGAGACAGCAAAGGGGAUGCAUUCCCUGCCCCUGAGGGGCUCUCUGCCAGAAUCCCGUGGAGGGGAAACAAGAGAGGCCUCAAGGACUUUCAUGCAAAACAGAGAAAAAAAAUCUGGUGAGGACAGUGCAAGGUGAGGAGGGGGCAGGCGAGAAAGAGCACAAGCGGCAGCUUUCGUGGGGAGGGAGUGAGGUGUGGCUUCAUGAGGGUCAGCUUUUGAAAGGGGUUCUGAAAGAUCAGUAGGUGUUCAUUCAGGGUGAGGAAGCCGGGACAGAGGGAACAGCAUGAACAAAGGCUCAGAGGAAGGAGAGAGGCACUUGGAUUGGCAGCACAAAGGACACAGGUGGAGGAGACGUGGGUGACAGGGCCAGAGAGGCUGCGCCCACUCACGUGCUUGGCAAAGGAAGUGGCCUUUGCUUCUGGUGGCCGUGAGCAGCCACGGAAGGUACGAGUGAUCUGCAGCGGUGGGUGGUAGGGAUUCGAACAGCGUUUAGGGAACUCUGAAGACUGCAAAGGCUGACAGAGACCAAAUGGUGGGAGAGUGUGAGGAAUGGGGCACUAACGACGGGUGACAGCGGUCAAGUGUAACAGGGUCUCCUGAAGGGGGAGGAGAUGGGCAAGGGGAAUAUCUGUGUUCAGCACCCCCUGACAUUCCCGUUCGCUCUACACCAGCUGCAAGGUCCCCCCACCCCGAAUCUUACCAGGACGCAACUCAGGGCACCCCAGGCCACUACAAAUACAAUGGUCCAUUCAGUUCCCGAGGGCCUGGAACCCCAAGUCUCUAUCUGCUCUUGGAGGAAGAAUAUUAUCAGUGUCCAGGAGAGCGAGACAAUGACAAACAGUGGUUCCCUGUGGAGGGAAACCCUGAGAACAUGUUCUCACCAAAACCACCAGUUCUCAGAGCACUGGGCCUGGCCCUGUGGGUCACCCCUGGGGCCACAGCAGGAAGACCUGUCCCACGACCCGAGCCCACGCUCUCUACCUGACAGUUAGGGUGAUCAAGACAGGGCCGGCUGACCUCUGCAGUCUCACUGCUCAGCUGCCCAGCACAACUUUCCUCUCCAGUAACGGCUUCUUACUGGGCCCUGCUAUGCUACUCCUUGGACACUUCCUGUCCAUUCCACUCCAUGGGGAAGCUCCCGCUCCCGUCCACAUCCUAGCCAGCCUUAAGUCCAGUUCACAUCCAGCCCCCUGCUUUUCCCGACCGUCCCAGGAAGGACCACCACUCCUCUGAACGCUGAAGGACUCGGCCACCCCGCAGUCUGUGCCCAGCACUGCACCAUGGAAUGUCACGGGUUUUUUCUCACGUGUUUCAUGUUUCUAGCCCCACAGCUCCAGGCCAGAGUCCCUGAGGACAGACUGGUGCCACGAUUCUCUGCCUCUUGAGCGCCAGCCCUCUGCCCGCGUCUAGAGCUCCCCACACAGGCACAGGCAGAGAGAAAAAGCAACUACAAAGGGAAGCAGAGGAAGUGAAGUUUGAAAUCCGGGCGUCCCCAGUUCCAGGCUAGUGUCUCUUCAAAAGAACACCCCGUCUCCUCUUUCAUCUCCACGUUGUGAGCCACAGCUGGGGGAUCUCAACUAGUUCUGAAGUUAAUAUCUGGCCCAGAUCACAAGUCCCGGUGACCUUUGCUGACGUUAGGGUCACACGCAUCGCUGUUCUAUGUCCCAGAGAAGAGAUCGGCUUCUGCUUCAUUUCUCUAAAAACUCUGGCUGACGAAGUAUCCUCUAGAGAUCGCUCAGAGCCUCCAUUCUCAACUAGUCAGAGGUGUCGCAGGAUGGCAGCGACACCCAUUCCCCAGGAGGCACAACGCCCAAUGCUGGCCAACUCCAAGCUCUCUACCCUGCUCUCAACUUCACCAAGUGCCACACCGACUACCUUGUCCCUGAUUGCGAAGGAGCCACAGACAGGCCAGGAUGUGUCUUUCACCCAAGGAGAACCUGGGGCCUCGUCUCAGCAACACAAAUGAGACAGGAACGGGGCAGGGCACAACCUUUACAAGAAUGCCAUAGCCAUUGAGGACACGACAUAAACUGGUUAGAAACAGCUAGGUUCAAGAUGGCAGAUGACUGACUUCUACUAACCUUGAGCCUCAGUACAGCUUCACUGUAACACAUCAGCAAGCUAAAUGACACACCCACAGGCGCCAUGUCAAUUCCGAGGCGGACAGUAAAAGGCCAGAAGUGGGCGGUGGCUCCAUUCCUGGAAUAAGCCUCUCAUUAGCCUAUGAAAUUACCCACCCCUAUAAAAACUGACAAUCCCAUACCCUGGGGCCUCUCUCACCUUCCGAGAUGGCUCACACUCUGUCUAUGGAGUGUGUAUCUCCCUGAAUAAACCUUCUUUCAGUUUA